rnacentral:tRNA from 1 species
GGGGGUAAAGCUCAGUGGUAGAGCGUGUGCUUAGCAUGCAUGAGUCCUGGGUUCAAUCCCCAGUACCUCCA